UACUUGUACCGACUGGAUGAGCAGCGAACGGGUGAGUAACGCGUGGGGAAUCUGCCUUUGAGCGGGGGACAACAUUUGGAAACGAAUGCUAAUACCGCAUAAAAACUUUAAACACAAGUUUUAAGUUUGAAAGAUGCAAUUGCAUCACUCAAAGAUGAUCCCGCGUUGUAUUAGCUAGUUGGUGAGGUAAAGGCUCACCAAGGCGAUGAUACAUAGCCGACCUGAGAGGGUGAUCGGCCACAUUGGGACUGAGACACGGCCCAAACUCCUACGGGAGGCAGCAGUAGGGAAUCUUCGGCAAUGGACGAAAGUCUGACCGAGCAACGCCGCGUGAGUGAAGAAGGUUUUCGGAUCGUAAAACUCUGUUGGUAGAGAAGAACGUUGGUGAGAGUGGAAAGCUCAUCAAGUGACGGUAACUACCCAGAAAGGGACGGCUAACUACGUGCCAGCAGCCGCGGUAAUACGUAGGUCCCGAGCGUUGUCCGGAUUUAUUGGGCGUAAAGCGAGCGCAGGUGGUUUAUUAAGUCUGGUGUAAAAGGCAGUGGCUCAACCAUUGUAUGCAUUGGAAACUGGUAGACUUGAGUGCAGGAGAGGAGAGUGGAAU
rnacentral:rRNA from 1 species